rnacentral:siRNA from 1 species
AGCGAAAUAAUCUCUGAUGAUAGC